rnacentral:tRNA from 1 species
CGCGGGGUAGAGCAGUUGGUAGCUCGUCGGGCUCAUAACCCGGAGGCCGUUGGUUCGAAUCCUUCCCCCGCAACCA